ensembl:lncRNA novel transcript
GAAACGGCCUCCCUGUCUGUCAAAGUGGCCUCCCGAGGACACCCAGCGAGGCCACCAGAUCAUCACGUGGAGUAUCGGUGGCCUUAUUAAAACAAAAACAACAACUCCACAGCCCGGCGAGCGCAGCCCAAAGGGAUGAGAAGAUGGAUAUGGCCCGGAGAUAAUGCACACCUCUCGUGGGGACAGUGUCCCCAUCCCCCUCCGGCUGCACUGAAGACCUGGAGCAAUGGCUGCCAUCCAUGCGCGAGGACCCCUCGGAGGUUCCACCUGCACAGACCUUGCUAAGGGUGAGGUGAUUACUAGAAGGAGCACCUUUUCUAGUUAAAAUCUAACUAGAUUCUCCUUGGCAACUUGUCUUACAGAAACAGGUAUAGACUAUCACCUUGCCCAGCUGGGCGCAUCUUCGGAGGGAGGCCUGGGGCCACGUGCACCUAAUGAAGGUGCCUGGGAGGGGGCUGGCUUUCCACUCAGCAAAUGCUUUCUUACAGAAAGACUGUGGGGAGAGUCCGUUUUCUUAGAGCCGUAUGAAGAAAUCCUAAAAACCAACUGCCCAAUCUCAACUCGUAACAGGGAACCUGGGGAGUGACAUCAGAGAUUCCCAAUGUUUUCCUCCUCGUUGAUCCCUGCGAUGAAGGCACUUGCCCAUGUGUAUUCUGUAGUAGGAGUUUGCAUUCUGAAACUGGUCUUUAUUAAAGAACAAACACAUUAUUUACAAAUU